CCCCCCCCCCACGUGUCACCACUGCCGCACAGAGCCACCGCUCCGCACGUCCAGCCACCGACCCCCGGACCUGUAGCCACCGGAUCCGGUGGUGCCUCCUCCCACCACCGCCCUGCGGCCACCGGAUCCGGCGGGAUCCUCCUCCACCUCCCUCCUCCCACCCCCGUCCGGCCACCUACCCGGAUGCGACCUCCUGAGCCGGCCACCUCCCUCCUCCCAGGUGCCCAGCGCAACUGCCGGCGUUGAUCCGGGCAUACCGCCCCCGCCGUGGCUUUCCCAUCUUCAGGCUCCUCCCGCGGCCACCGGAUCCGGCGGGAUCCUCCUCCACCUACCUCCUCCCACCCCACAUCGGCCCAUCCUUGUUGAGCCCCCGCGCCGGUUCCCGUGGAGGCCCGGCCGGAUCUCCUCCAUCGCGUCCCUCCCCUCAUCAUCACCGGAUCCCUGCAUCUCUCCUUCCACCAGUGAGGGUUGCGGCGAGGAGUAACCUCCUCGGCUCCUACGCAUCCGUCCUUGCGCUGCCCGAGAUCCACGUCUACGGCAACCGGAUCCACCUACCCCACGGCACGGGUGCUCCUUGCUCCGCCGCUGAAGUUCGCUGUCAAAUGAAAAAUUGACCAAAUUUCCUGGCGCGGCGUCGAGCAGUUGGUAGGGCGCGGCGUGCAGUUUCCAUGCGUGGAUAGGAAAUUCCUGAGGCUGCUGCGAUCCAUUUCUUCCCUAGUGCACUGCAGAUAACUCUGAAGCAAUGUGGUUCAAUUUCUAAAAAAAUACACAAGAAAUCCACUUAUUUUCCCCUGUAGUGCACUUUUUUUCUUGCUAUGUUUCACUUGAACGGUGUGCAACGGUGGUUUACUUCUGUUCUGUGUUGCAGGGAUUUUUUUUCACUUGUGUGGGAAAAAAGAAGGAAAAUUAAACACCACUCGCCGACAAAGAUAACGACCCCGAGCAUCAUGCGCGUGCAGUUCCUUUUGUGUAUGCUUGCAAUGCAUUGUGUGUAUGUGUGUAGUGCACCCCAUCACUUCAUGUUUUUUGAGAAAACAAUUUGUAUUGUCAUACGUGGCAGUUUCACUUGUGUAUAUGCUUGCAAUGCGGUUGUCUGUAUGCGUGCAGUGCACUCCUGUGGUUUCCUUUGUAAAAUGGCAAUUAAAAAACAUCACAAAGAAGUCCAUUCCCUUUUAGAUGUA